rnacentral:rRNA from 1 species
GAUGAACGCUGGCGGCGUGCCUAAUACAUGCAAGUCGAGCGAACAGACGAGGAGCUUGCUCCUCUGACGUUAUCGGCGGACGGGUGAGUAACACGUGGAUAACCUACCUAUAAGACUGGGAUAACUUCGGGAAACCGGAGCUAAUACCGGAUAAUAUAUUGAACCGCAUGGUUCAACAGUGAAAGACGGUUUUGCUGUCACUUAUAGAUUGAUCCGCGCCGCAUUAGCUAGUUGGUAAGGUAACGGCUUACCAAGGCAACGAUGCGUAGCCGACCUGAGAGGGAGAUCGGACACCCUGGAUCUGAGACACGGUCCAGACUCUUACGGGAGGAAGCAGUAGGGAAUCUUCCGCAAUGGGCGAAUGCCUGACGGAGCAACGCCGCGUGAGUGAUGAAGGUCUUCUGAUCGUAAAACUCUGUUAUUAGGGAAGAACAAAUGUGUAAGUAACUAUGCACGUCUUGACGGUACCUACUCAGAAAGCCACGGCUAACUACGUG